rnacentral:sRNA from 1 species
AACGAAAUUGCUAGAAAGUAUUUCUCUUAGCAGACUCUUUCUGCCACUCGCCAUUUUAUCUAUUGCUUGUGCAACAAUUUUAAUGCUAUCAUGUGCUUGCAGAGCGUAGAAUCCCGGGUUGCUGUUAUCCUCCUCAGGAUACCUGGCACGAAAAGAUUUCCUGAACCGAGCCUCAAAAUUUUGAUAUUCACUGCUACGUUCAGAGUAGUAGGUCUUGAUUCCUAAAGCUCCUUGCAUGUAGGAAAUAGCAGACUUGUUGACAGAAUCAAGCAAAUUAGUUGUGCUCUCUGGAUUAGAAAGAUAAGAAGGAGAUGGAAGAGCCAAACGAUACUCGAUCAGUGAACCAACGUCUUGGAGGGUCUCUGAUAGCAGUGUUAGCAUCUCAUAGUCUCCAUCUUCAUAAAUCACUACUACUCUCUGCCAACUAAAAGCAUGCACCAUAUCUGCAACACAUUUUGCAUAUGCAGUGCCAUUGUGAGCCAUUCUUACCAAGGAAGGCCAGCGAAUUGGCAUCAAUGAUGGGCUUAUGGAAGGAGCUGCAAAGGAUAGGACAGGAACUUGAGAUUUGCGUCCUAAUUCAGCCACUGAAGCUGCUUCUGUCCACGUCUGCAUCCCUAUAAUCACUUGCAUCUUCUGCGUUUUAAUCAUUCUUCUAGCUGCAACAAACAAGUUCACAUUCAAUACUUCACAUACUAGGCAUGGUUAAAACCAAAAGGAUUAAAUAGAACUCAGAUAACUCU